AAUACCCAAUGACGUCUCUUGGACAGCCUUCUGAAAGGAAGAUUAAUACAAGAUGGCAUCAUGAGUCCGCAUGUUCACAUGAUUAAGGUAUCCGGUAGACGAUGGGGAUGCGUUCCAUUAGAUAGUAGGCGGGGUAACGGCCCACCUAGUCUUCGAUGGAUAGGGGGUUCUGAGAGGAAGGUCCCCCACAUUGGAACUGAGACACGGUCCAAACUCCUACGGGAGGCAGCAGUGAGGAAUAUUGGUCAAUGGGCGAGAGCCUGAACCAGCCAAGUAGCGUGAAGGAUGACUGCCCUAUGGGUUGUAAACUUCUUUUAUAAAGGAAUAAAGUCGGGUAUGGAUACCCGUUUGCAUGUACUUUAUGAAUAAGGAUCGGCUAACUCCGUG
rnacentral:rRNA from 1 species